AUGAUCCAGAAGAAACUGUUAGACACUCUCUGCUGUGCUGCUGAUUCUCCUGCUACCCCAGUGCUCCAAAUUCUGCUCCGGUCCCUUCCUGAAACCCUCCAGCACCUGCAGUCCUCCAGCUCAGUCAUCUUCAUCCUCUGGCUCCUGCUCUGUUACGACUCUGGUUUUGUUGACGGGAGUGAUGUCACCCAGACCCCCUUGGUGUGGAAAAAUAAGGGUGAAAAUGCAACGAUAUCCUGCAGCCACACCAAGGGCGAUUUAUACUUCCAGAUGUACUGGUACAGACAGCUGCCAGGAGAAACUAUGAAACUCAUUGUCUUCACCACCACAGGCGGGAGCAAGCACGACUUUGGAAGUUUCAGCAAAGAGAAAUUUUCAGCCACCAAAACUGUUGCUCAGAGUGGAACGUUUACCGUGAAGAACCUGGAGCCAAAAGACGAAGGCCUGUAUUUCUGUGCUGUGAGUCAACACAUUACAGUCAUUAGGUGGCAGCAAGUCUUCAGCCAGAUCUUCACACUGAACCUGUUCCAUGAGGCGCUGGUGACAUGA